rnacentral:rRNA from 1 species
GAUGAACGCUGGCGGCGUGCCUAAUACAUGCAAGUCGAGCGAACGGACGAGAAGCUUGCUUCUCUGAUGUUAGCGGCGGACGGGUGAGUAACACGUGGAUAACCUACCUAUAAGACUGGGAUAACUUCGGGAAACCGGAGCUAAUACCGGAUAAUAUUUUGAACCGCAUGGUUCAAAAGUGAAAGACGGUCUUGCUGCCACUUAUAGAUGGAUCCGCGCUGCAUUAGCUAGUUGGUAAGGUAACGGCUUACCAAGGCAACGAUGCAUAGCCGACCUGAGAGGGUGAUCGGCCACACUGGAACUGAGACACGGUCCAGACUCCUACGGGAGGCAGCAGUAGGGAAUCUUCCGCAAUGGGCGAAAGCCUGACGGAGCAACGCCGCGUGAGUGAUGAAGGUCUUCGGAUCGUAAAACUCUGUUAUUAGGGAAGAACAUACGUGUAAGUAACUGUGCACAUCUUGACGGUACCUAAUCAGAAAGCCACGGCUAACUACGUG